rnacentral:rRNA from 1 species
GAACCGGGGGAACUGAAACAUCUAAGUACCCCGAGGAAAAGAAAUCAACCGAGAUUCCCCCAGUAGCGGCGAGCGAACGGGGAGCAGCCCAGAGCCUGAAUCAGUGUGUGUGUUAGUGGAAGCGUCUGGAAAGGCGCGCGAUACAGGGUGACAGCCCCGUACACAAAAAUGCACAUACUGUGAGCUCGAUGAGUAGGGCGGGACACGUGGUAUCCUGUCUGAAUAUGGGGGGACCAUCCUCCAAGGCUAAAUACUCCUGACUGACCGAUAGUGAACCAGUACCGUGAGGGAAAGGCGAAAAGAACCCCGGCGAGGGGAGUGAAAAAGAACCUGAAACCGUGUACGUACAAGCAGUGGGAGCACAGAGCAAUCUGUGUGACUGCGUACCUUUUGUAUAAUGGGUCAGCGACUUAUAUUCUGUAGCAAGGUUAACCGAAUAGGGGAGCCGAAGGGAAACCGAGUCUUAACUGGGCGUUAAGUUGCAGGGUAUAGACCCGAAACCCGGUGAUCUAGCCAUGGGCAGGUUGAAGGUUGGGUAACACUAACUGGAGGACCGAACCGACUAAUGUUGAAAAAUUAGCGGAUGACUUGUGGCUGGGGGUGAAAGGCCAAUCAAACCGGGAGAUAGCUGGUUCUCCCCGAAAGCUAUUUAGGUAGCGCCUCGUGAAUUCAUCUCCGGGGGUAGAGCACUGUUUCGGCAAGGGGGUCAUCCCGACUUACCAACCCGAUGCAAACUGCGAAUACCGGAGAAUGUUAUCACGGGAGACACACGGCGGGUGCUAACGUCCGUCGUGAAGAGGGAAACAACCCAGACCGCCAGCUAAGGUCCCAAAGUCAUGGUUAAGUGGGAAACGAUGUGGGAAGGCCCAGACAGCCAGGAUGUUGGCUUAGAAGCAGCCAUCAUUUAAAGAAAGCGUAAUAGCUCACUGGUCGAGUCGGCCUGCGCGGAAGAUGUAACGGGGCUAAACCAUGCAC